rnacentral:rRNA from 1 species
GUCUUUUUGAUAAUGAUUUAAAGUCUGAUCUGCUCACUGAUGUUUAUUUAAGAGCCGCGGUAUUUUGACCGUGCAAAGGUAGCGUGAUAAUUAGUUUUUUGAUUGAAAGCUGGUAUGAAUGAUUUGACGAGAAAAUAGCUGUCUCUAUUUAAUAAGUUUAAUUUUAUGUUUAAGUAAAAAAUCUUAAAUAUUUUCAAGGGACGAGAAGACCCUAUAGAGUUUUAUAUUUAAAUAAUAUUUAUUAAUUAAUGAAGUUGAAUUUAAUUAUUAUUUAACUAUUUGAUUGGGGUGAUUUAAAGAUUUGAUUAACUCUUUAUAAUAAGUUAACAAUGAUUUUUGGAAUAUUUGAUCUAUAGAAAUAAUAGAAAGAUUUAAUUACCUUAGGGAUAACAGCGUAAUUUUUUAUUAAGUUCAUAUUAUUAUAAAAGGUUGCGACCUCGAUGUUGGAUUAAAAUUUAAAUUAGGUGUAGGUGCUUAAUUUUUAAGUCUGUUCGACUUUUGAAAUUUUACA